GGUCUUAUGGCUGAGUGGUUUAAGCGAGGUACUGUUAAUACCUUCUACAGAGGUUCGAACCCUCUUAAGACCU
rnacentral:tRNA from 1 species